UACGUAGGGGGCGAGCGUUGUCCGGAUUCAUUGGGCGUAAAGCGCUUUAAGGCGGUUCGGUAAGUCGCGUGUGAAACCUCCAGGCUCAACCUGGAGACGCCACGCGAUACUGCCGUGACUUGAGUUCGGUAGGGGCAGAGGGAAUUUCCGGUGGAGCGGUGAAAUGCAUUGAGAUCGGAAAGAACACCAACGGCGAAAGCACUCUGCUGGGCCGACACUGACACUGAGAGACGAAAGCUAGGGGAGCAAAUGGG
rnacentral:rRNA from 1 species